CAAACACGUAGUUGUAACCAGUUGGACACUCAGGAACAGAGGGGUUGAGGGCCCUGCUCAAUGAGCUUACAUGCUAGAGGGAGUGGGGUAAAGUGACACAAAAAGGUAAGGAUAGUAUUAGACUAACGACAGUUGCAAGAGAGAAAUCAUACAAUACACAAAUAAUAAAAGUAGGAAUCCACAUAUAUCACAAUGUACAGUUUUAAAAUGAAAUUUAACUAUUAAUCCUUGUAGAUAAUUGCAUUUAAAAUACAUAUCGUAGUGACUGUGUACAUCAUCAAUAC